UGGGGAAUUUUGGACAAUGGGCGAAAGCCUGAUCCAGCAAUGCCGCGUGUGUGAAGAAGGCCUUCGGGUUGUAAAGCACUUUUGUCCGGAAAGAAAUCCUUGGCUCUAAUACAGCCGGGGGAUGACGGUACCGGAAGAAUAAGCACCGGCUAACUACGUGCCAGCAGCCGCGGUAAUACGUAGGGUGCAAGCGUUAAUCGGAAUUACUGGGCGUAAAGCGUGCGCAGGCGGUUUGCUAAGACCGAUGUGAGAUCCCCGGGCUCAACCUGGGAACUGCAUUGGUGACUGGCAGGCUAGAGUAUGGCAGAGGGGGGUAGAAUUCCACGUGUAGCAGUGAAAUGCGUAGAGAUGUGGAGGAAUACCGAUGGCGAAGGCAGCCCCCUGGGCCAAUACUGACGCUCAUGCACGAAAGCGUGGGGAGCAAACAGGAUUAGAUACCCUGGUAGUCCACGCCCUAGACGAUGUCAACUAGUUGUUGGGGAUUCAUUUCCUUAGUAACGUAGCUAACGCGUGAAGUUGACCGCCUGGGGAGUACGGUCGCAAGAUUAAAACUCAAAUGAAUUGACGGGG
rnacentral:rRNA from 1 species